UUAAAGUUUGAUCCUGGCUCUCAACGAUUCUGGCGGUGCGUUUCCAUUGCAAGUCGAGCGCCCCGUUGGGGAGCGGCAGACGGGUGAGUAACACGAGGGAACGUACCUUUUGGGGCGGAACAACUCCGGGAAACUGGAGCUAAUACCGGAUAAGCCCUAACGGGGAAAGAUUUAUGGUCAAAAGAUCGGCCCGCGUCUGAUUGGCUAGUUGGUGACGUAACGGCUCAGUUACGGGACGACUUCCCCUGGUCUGAGAGGAUGAUCCGCCACUCUGGGACUGAGACUCCGCCCCGACUCCUACGGGAGGAACUAGUGGGGAAUAUUGGACAAUGGGCGCAAGCCUGAUCCUGCCAUGCGUCGCGAGUGAUGAAGGCCUUACGGUUGUUUAGCUCUUUUGUCCGGGAAAAAACUGUCUGUACCGGAAGAAUAAUCCCCGGCUAACUUCUCGCCCUUUCCGCGGUAAUACUAAGGGGGCUAGCGUUGUUCGCAAUCGCCGGUCCUAAAGCGUACGUAGGCGGAUUAUUCAGUCAGGGGUGAAUGCCUGGAGCUCAACUCCAGACCUGCCUCUGAUACUGAUAGUCUCGAGUUCUGAAGAGGUUGAGGAACUGCGAGUGUAGAGGUGAAAUUCGUAGAUCUUCGCACGAACGCCGGUGGAUAAGGUCUCCCACUGGCUCUAUACUGACGCUCAUGUGCGAAAUGAUAGGUAGCAAAUGAUAUUAGAUACCCUGGCAGUCAAAGGCG
rnacentral:rRNA from 1 species